rnacentral:rRNA from 1 species
GACGAACGCUGGCGGCGUGCUUAACACAUGCAAGUCGAACGGAAAGGCCUUUUCGGCGGUUCUCGAGUGGGGAACGGGUGAGUAACACGUGGGUGAUUCGCCCUGCACUCUGGGGUAAGCGUGGGAAACUGGGUGCAAUACCGGAUAGGACCGCACGGUAGAGAGUGUGGUGGAAUGUGAUUUCGGUGUAGGAUGAGUCCGUGGCCUAACAGCUUGUGUGGGGGGUAAUGGGGUACCACGGCGCCGACGGGUAGCCGGACUGAGAGGUUGGUAGGCCACACUGGGACUGAGGGGCGGCCGAGAUGCCGACGGGAGGCAGAAGGGGGGAAUAUUGCACAAUGGGUGCAAGCCGGAUGCAGAGAGGCCGCGGAGGGGAUGACGGCCUUCGGGUUGUAAAAGCCUUUUGCCAGGGACGAAGCGUUUUGUGACGUUACCUGGAGAAGAAGCACCGGCUAACUACGUG